AUGGUCCUUCUGUUGUUAGCGUCAGCGUCGCCAGGGAUUGUGGCAGGUCCCCAUCUCUGCCACCUUGUAGGUAAAUUUUGUCUCUGCUGUGCGCCUCCUUCCUACUGCCCAGUGGAUUUUGUCUUUGGCUUCUCUUCGCUCUGUCCCAGCCCAUCACUGGGAGAUCUGCUCAGUGACUUGUCUUCCCUGCUCCCUGCCAUGAUCAGCGCUGGUCAACGGGCAUUUGGUAUUAUGAGAUCUCUAACUGUGGUUAGGGGUGCCGUCCACAUAUACCGACGACUCUCGUGAUUUCCUGGUUUGAACUAGUUCUCUUGGCUUCAUCGGAGGGGUGGUUCGAGUGGCUCCCUACAAAGGUUUGAUUUUCACCUCUUUUGCAUUUUGCCACAGGGAUCUGGUCAUGUUAGUACUGAGGGUUAUCACAAAGAUAAAUAUCUUUACGCGUAAAUAAUUAUCUUUAUGAUGUGAGUAUCAAGAGGACUAUAAUUUAUUUCCAAAUUAGUUUUUUUUUUAAGAUUAAUUGAAUAAGAAAUCAUCUUUUACUAGCCAUGGUUAUUUUGGCUGACAACAUAACCGUCCUUAUCAUGAAACUGCAACUCACGUGAAAUAAAAACAAAACAUCUAUUUACA
rnacentral:lncRNA from 12 species